GGAGGGGUUCCCGAGUGGCCAAAGGGAACAGACUGUAAAUCUGUCGGCGUAUGCCUUCGGAGGUUCAAAUCCUCCCCCCUCCA
rnacentral:tRNA from 1 species